AUGAUUCUGUGCCUAAACCUCUUAUCCUUGCUUGAAUUCCUCAGAGGUGUCCAAUCAGAUGUCUCAUUGGUGGAGUCUGGAGGAGAUGUGAGAAGACCUGGAGGGUCCCUCCGUCUCAUCCGCCAAGCCUCUGGAUUAAACUUCAGCAGCUAUAACAUGGCUUGGGUGAGACAGGCUACUGGGAAAGGCCUGGAAUGGGUUGCAAGGAUAGGUACAUCUUCAUCUUCAAUUGGAUACUCAGACAAAAUCAAGGAACACUUCACCAUCUCCAGGGAUGAUGUCCUCAGUCAGCUGUAUCUUCAAAUGAACAGCCUGAAAUCAGAGGACACAGCUGUCUAUUACUGUUGGGGAACCGGUGCACAGUGA